AGGGUCCAGGCAAUGAGACGGUUGGUGUUCCGGGCGGGGGUAAACACGAAGAGGCAUGGGCACUGAAGCCAUCCAUCUAAGAAUAUUUAUUAGUCAGAUGCGCG
ensembl:ncRNA ZC443.8 ncRNA